rnacentral:rRNA from 1 species
CGGACGGGUGAGUAACGCGUGGGUAACCUGCCUUAUACAGGGGGAGUAACAGUUAGAAAUAGACUGCUAAUACCGCAUAAGCGCACAGUGCUGCAUGGCACAGUGUGAAAAACUACCGGUGGUAUGAGAUGGACCCGCGUCUGAUUAGCUAGUUGGUGGGGUAACGGCCUACCAAGGCGACGAUCAGUAGCCGGCCUGAGAGGGUGAACGGCCACAUUGGGACUGAGACACGGCCCAAACUCCUACGGGAGGCAGCAUG